AUCGAUCUUCAGGGCAGGGCGAAAUUCCCGACCGGCGGUAAAGUCCGCGAGCGCAAGCUGAACCGGUGUGAUUCCGGUACCGACAGUACAGUCUGGAUGGAAGAAGAUUUUU
rnacentral:ncRNA from 2 species